ensembl:lncRNA
UUAAAAUCAGCUGACUCUAAUGAAAGUGAAAGAAAAGAAAAGAAAAGAAAAGAAAAGAAGCAGCUCCGUUGAGAGGCUUUAAACAACGGCCGCUUAUUUUGUGCCUCCAGAAAUAAUUUCCAUGAGAAGAAGGAGAAUCAGGACACUGACUUUAAAAUGAGUUCUCCAUCUGCUGGAUCAAGCUGUGAUCAACCCAUAAAGAAUCUGAGCUCUGCCAUUAGUGAUGCAUCAGUGACCUCUGACCCCAGCAGGUCGAAGAGGCUGAGAUCAGAGUCUCCAGAACCCAGUGGUGUGUCUGUGAAGAGUAAUGCAUCUAUGAUGAAUCCCCCUGCACUCCGUGAGGCAACAGUGACCUCUGACCCCAGGUAUGACACUAGAUGUUUUUUGCAUUUGUCAGAUUAUUUAUACAAACGGCUUAUUGUGCA